rnacentral:rRNA from 1 species
AGUGAACGCUGGCGGUAGGCCUAACACAUGCCAGUCGAACGGCAGCACCGUAAGAGCUUGCUCUUACGGGUGGCGAGUGGCGGACGGGUGAGGAAUACAUCGGAAUCUACUUUUUCGUGGGGGCUAACGUAGGGAAACUUACGCUAAUACCGCAUACGACCUACGGGUGAAAGCAGGGGAUCUUCGGACCUUGCGCGAUUGAAUGAGCCGAUGUCGGAUUAGCUAGUUGGCGGGGUAAAGGCCCACCAAGGCUACGAUCCGUAGCUGGUCUGAGCGGAUGAUCAGCCACACUGGAACUGAGACACGGUCCAGACUCCUGCGGGAGGCAGCAGUGGGGAAUAUUGGACAAUGGGCGCAAGCCUGAUCCAGCCAUACCGCGUGAGUGAAGAAGGCCUUCGGGUUGUAAAGCCCUUUUGUUGGGAAAGAAAAGCAGCAGGUUAAUACGCCGCUGUUCUGACGGUACCCAAAGAAUAAGCACCGGCUAACUUCGUG